rnacentral:rRNA from 1 species
CCUACGGGUGGCAGCAGUCGAGAAUCAUUCACAAUGGGGGAAACCCUGAUGGUGCGACGCCGCGUGGGUGAAUGAAGGUCUUCGGAUUAUAAACCCCGGUCAUGGAGGAGCAAAUUAAAAAGAUAGUACCACAAGAGGAAGAGACGGCUAACUCUGUGCCAGCAGCCGCGGUAAUACAGAGGUCUCAAGCGUUGUUCGGAAUCACUGGGCGUAAGGGGUGCGUAGGCUGUUUCGGAAGUCGUGUGUGAAAGUCGCGGGCUCAACCCGCGGACGGCACAUGAUACUGCGAGACUAGAGUAAUGGAGGGGGAACCGGAACUCUCGGUGGAGCAGUGAAAUGCGUAGAUAUCGAGAGGAACACUAGUGGCGAAGGCGGGUUCCUGGACAUUAACUGACGCUGAGGCACGAAGGCCAGGGGAGCGAAAGGGAUUAGAUACCCUUGUAGUC